AAUGUGGUGUUGAAGGUGUGGAGGUGGAUCAGUGAGUCAGAGGAGACUGUGUAGAAGGACAGAGAGCCAGCAGGAACGUCCACAUACACUGCUACUCUGUUAGAGACAGAGCAGGAAGUGAGGACUGUUCUUCUGUUAUUGUGACAGACAUAGUAACCAUCUUCAUCAGAGCAGAUCAGUCUCCAGGAAUGAUCAUUACUUCCAAACAGUCUUCACUGUCUCCUUUCCUUCUGAUUCCUCUGUAACUCA